UCAUUAAAUCAGUUAUCGUUUAUUUGAUAGUACCUUACUACUUGGAUAACCGUGGUAAUUCUAGAGCUAAUACAUGCUAAAAACCUCGACUUCGGAAGGGGUGUAUUUAUUAGAUAAAAAACCAAUGCCCUUCGGGGCUCCCUGGUGAUUCAUAAUAACUUAACGAAUCGCAUGGCCUUGUGCCGGCGAUGGUUCAUUCAAAUUUCUGCCCUAUCAACUUUCGAUUGUUGGGUCUUGGCCAACAAUGGUUUCAACGGGUAACGGGGAAUUAGGGUUCUAUUCCGGAGAGGGAGCCUGAGAAACGGCUACCACAUCCAAGGAAGGCAGCAGGCGCGCAAAUUACCCAAUCCUGAUCCAGGGAGGUAGUGACAAUAAAUACUGAUACAGGGCUCUUUUGGGUCUUGUAAUUGGAAUGAGUACAAUUUAAAUCCCUUAACGAGGAACAAUUGGAGGGCAAGUCUGGUGCCAGCAGCCGCGGUAAUUCCAGCUCCAAUAGCGUAUAUUAAAGUUGUUGCAGUUAAAAAGCUCGUAGUUGAACCUUGGGCCUGGCUGGCCGGUCCGCCUCACCGCGUGCACUGGUCCGGCCGGGCCUUUCCUCCUGGGGAGCCGCAUGUCCUUCACUGGGUGUGUCGGGGAACCAGGACUUUUACUUUGAAAAAAUUAGAGUGUUCAAAGCAGGCCUAUGCUCGAAUACAUUAGCAUGGAAUAAUAGAAUAGGACGUGUGGUUCUAUUUUGUUGGUUUCUAGGACCGCCGUAAUGAUUAAUAGGGACAGUUGGGGGCAUCAGUAUUUAAUUGUCAGAGGUGAAAUUCUUGGAUUUAUUAAAGACUAACUACUGCGAAAGCAUUUGCCAAAGAUGUUUUCAUUAAUCAGUGAACGAAAGUUAGGGGAUCGAAGACGAUCAGAUACCGUCGUAGUCUUAACCAUAAACUAUGCCGACUAGGGAUCGGGCGAUGUUAUCUUUUUGACUCGCUCGGCACCUUACGAGAAAUCAAAGUCUUUGG
rnacentral:rRNA from 1 species